UAGACAAUGGGGGGGACCCCUGUAUCCAGCCAUGCCGCGUGUGUGAUGAAAGCCCUCGGGUUGUAAAGCACUUUCAGCGAGGAAGAACGCCUAGCGGUUAAUACCCGCUAGGAAAGACAUCACUCGCAGAAGAAGCACCGGCUAACUCCGUGCCAGCAGCCGCGGUAAUACGGAGGGUGCAAGCGUUAAUCGGAAUUACUGGGCGUAAAGCGCGCGUAGGUGGCUUGAUAAGCCGGUUGUGAAAGCCCCGGGCUCAACCUGGGAACGGCAUCCGGAACUGUCAAGCUAGAGUGCAGGAGAGGAAGGUAGAAUUCCCGGUGUAGCGGUGAAAUGCGUAGAGAUCGGGAGGAAUACCAGUGGCGAAGGCGGCCUUCUGGACUGACACUGACACUGAGGUGCGAAAGCGUGGGUAGCAAACAGGAUUAGAUACCCUGGUAGUCCACGCCGUAAACGAUGUCGACCAGCCGUUGGGUGCCUAGCGCACUUUGUGGCGAAGUUAACGCGAUAAGUCGACCGCCUGGGGAGUACGGCCGCAAGGUUAAAACUCAAAUGAAUUGACGGA
rnacentral:rRNA from 1 species